CCUGGAGCAGUGUCCCGGAGUUUCCCUACAGACCAACACCCACCCGGUGACAGAGUGAGGCAAGUAUGGUCAAACUUCCCGUGUCCUGUGUCCUGUCUCCCCGAAUGGCCCAGACACAGAACCCCAUUAACCCUACAACCAUGUUGGAAAAAUAAACAAAUAAACAAAACCAAAAACAAUCAGUUAGACAAUCAGUUCUUUAAGGUUACUAGAGUAAGAAUUUCUGAAAAGAAGCUGUUCCUACAAAGGUUGACAGAUUAAGUUUCAUUGUCUUUGGGGAGUUUAGACUAUUGUAGGUCUAGAGCUCCCCCCAAAAAAACCACUUCUAUGUCAUCCACAUAACACCCUGAUAAACAGAUAAAACCCCUAAAAUAUAUUAAAACAAAA
ensembl:lincRNA Gm38201 predicted gene, 38201